rnacentral:rRNA from 1 species
UGGGGAAUAUUGGACAAUGGGCGCAAGCCUGAUCCAGCCAUGCCGCGUGAAUGAUGAAGGCCUUAGGGUUGUAAAAUUCUUUCACCGGGGACGAUAAUGACGGUACCCGGAGAAGAAGCCCCGGCUAACUUCGUGCCAGCAGCCGCGGUAAUACGAAGGGGGCUAGCGUUGCUCGGAAUUACUGGGCGUAAAGCGCACGUAGGCGGACUGAUUAGUUGGUGGUGAAAUCCCAGGGCUCAACCUUGGAACUGCCAUCAAUACUGUCAGUCUGGAGCAGAGUAGAGGUGAAUGGAAUUCCAAGUGUAGAGGUGAAAUUCGUAGAUAUUUGGAGGAACACCAGUGGCGAAGGCGACUCACUGGACUCUUGCUGACGCUGAGGUGCGAAAGCGUGGGGAGCAAA